rnacentral:rRNA from 1 species
GGCGCAGACGGUUAUUUAAGCAAGAUGUGAAAGCCCCGGGCUCAACCUGGGAACUGCGUUUUGAACUGGGUAACUAGAGUGUGUCAGAGGGGGGUAGAAUUCCACGUGUAGCAGUGAAAUGCGUAGAGAUGUGGAGGAAUACCGAUGGCGAAGGCAGCCCCCUGGGAUAACACUGACGUUCAUGCUCGAAAGCGUGGGUAGCAAACA